CCCUUAGACGUUCUGGGCCGCACGCGCGCUACACUGACCAGUGCAACAAGCAUCCGUCCUUGGCCGACAGGCUCGGGCAAUCUUUGAACGCUGGUCGUGAUGGGGAUAGACUUUUGCAAUUUUUGGUCUUCAACGAGGAAUUCCUAGUAAACGCAAGUCAUCAACUUGCAUUGAUUACGUCCCUGCCCUUUGUACACACCGCCCGUCGCACCUGCCGAUUGAAUGGUCCGGUGAAGCCUCCGGAUUGGCGCGCACCUCGGUGCCGCCGAGAAGUUGGCUAAACCUUACCAUUUAGAGGAAGGUGAAGUCGUAACA
rnacentral:rRNA from 1 species